ensembl:lncRNA
GCAAUAGCUGGGUAGGAUUUAAAUGUUUCCCAGAAAAUGAUGACAAUAACCUUUCUGUUGCACCCAUCAAGGCGUAAAUUCAAUGCAAGCAAAUAUGUGAUUUGUUCUUUGCCAUUUUUGCAGUUCUUUACCCAGUGGAGGUGUAGCAGGUGCAUCCUGCUCCACAACCGCUACCUCCAUGUCAGUGGCAGAUACUGUAGAAGGGGCGGGGUCAGGAACCUCAGAGGGGGCGGGGUCAGACACCUCGGAGGGGGCGGGGUCAGACACCUCGGAGGGGGCGGGGUCAGACACCUCAGAGGGGGCGGGGUCAGACACCUCAGAGGGGGCAGGGUCAGACACCUCAGAGGGGGCGGGGUCGUAUGAUGUUGAAGAGGAGUCGCUCUCAUAGUUGGAGGAGUCAGAAUCAUCUGAGGCGUCAGGUUGAGGCACCACAGAAGGGGCUGUUGAGGGGGUGGAGUCAAGGACCACUGAGGGGGUGGAGUCAGGGGAAACGACAACUGAGGGGGCGGAGUUAGAUGCAGCUGAAGGGGCCGAGGAAGCGACCACUGAGGGGGCGGACUCAGAGGACACGACCACUGAGAGGGUGGAGUCAGAGGAAUCGGCCACUGAGGGGGCGGAGUCAGAGGAAUCGACAACUGAGGGGGCGGAGUCAGAGGAAACAAGCACUGAGGGGCUGGAGUCAGAGGAAUCGGCUACUGAGGGGACUGAGUCAGAGGAAACAACCACUGAGGGGGCGGAGUCAGAGGAUACGACCACUGAGGGGGUGGAGUCAGAGGAAUCGGCUACUGAGGGGACUGAUUCAGAGGAAACGACAACUGAGGGGGCGGAGUCAGAGGCAGCUGAGGGGGCGGAGGAAACUACCACUGAGGAGGCGGAGUCAGAGGCAGCUGAGGGGGCAGAGGAAACGACCACUGAGGGGGUGGAGUCAGAGGAAUCGACCACCGAGGGGGCGGACUCAGAGGAUACGACCACUGAGGGGGUGGAGUCAGAGGAAUCGACCACUGAGGGGGCGGAGUCAGAGGAAUCGACCACUGAGGGGGCGGAGUCAGAGGCAGCUGAGGAAACGACCACUGAGGGGGCGGAGUCAGAGGAAACGACCACUGAAGGGGCGGGGCGAGGGUCUGCUGAGGGGGUGGAGUCUGUUUCUGAUACAAUGACUGUUGGCUGGACCUUAGUCCGCCCUAGAGAGGAGGACUGCACUGCUGUGGACAGAAGGGGAGGACAGGGAGGAGAGGGAAGAGAUUAAAAAAGGGUCGGAAAGACAAAACAAAAUUGAAGGAGAGGGAAGGGUGAGGGAGAACAAGGAAGGCAAGGGAGUAAAAGGGAGGUCGUUAGUGAAUUUGAGAGCCAAAAUCACUGAAUACAUCAAUGAAGAGGGCACACAGUAAAUCAAGAGUGAAGAUCGAAGGUAGAGACGAGCGGUUCUAAACGCCGGGCGGCAGAGCCUUUGUCAUCCUGAUUUCUCCGUCAGGGAGGCCCAGACUGUACAAAGGACACUUCACACAAAACAAAGGAGCUCCACUCAAUGCCCUCGGGGACCGUGAGCGCUCAGGCUGGAAAUCCAAGUCCACAAAUUAAAAAAGAAAAACAGAUUCCCCGGCGGGUUCAACUCCCCCUCCUACCUGCGGCCGCGUUC